UACGUAGGGUGCGAGCGUUAAUCGGAAUUACUGGGCGUAAAGCGUGCGCAGGCGGUUUUGUAAGCCAGGUGUGAAAUCCCCGGGCUCAACCUGGGAAUGGCAUUUGGGACUGCAAGGCUGGAGUGCGGCAGAGGAGACUGGAAUUCCUGGUGUAGCAGUGAAAUGCGUAGAUAUCAGGAGGAAUACCUAUGGCGAAAGCAGGUAUCUGGGCCACAACUGACGCUGAGCUGCGAAAGCUAGGGGAGCAAACAGG
rnacentral:rRNA from 1 species